UAUGCACGCUGGCGGCGUGCCUAAUACAUGCAAGUCGAGCGAACAGACGAGGAGCUUGCUCCUCUGACGUUAGCGGCGGACGGGUGAGUAACACGUGGAUAACCUACCUAUAAGACUGGGAUAACUUCGGGAAACCGGAGCUAAUACCGGAUAAUAUAUUGAACCGCAUGGUUCAAUAGUGAAAGACGGUUUUGCUGUCACUUAUAGAUGGAUCCGCGCCGCAUUAGCUAGUUGGUAAGGUAACGGCUUACCAAGGCAACGAUGCGUAGCCGACCUGAGAGGGUGAUCGGCCACACUGGAACUGAGACACGGUCCAGACUCCUACGGGAGGCAGCAGUAGGGAAUCUUCCGCAAUGGGCGAAAGCCUGACGUAGCAACGCCGCGUGAGUGAUGAAGGUCUUCGGAUCGUAAAACUCUGUUAUUAUGGAAGAACAAAUGUGUAAGUAACUAUGCACGUCUUGACGGUACCUAAUCAGAAAGCCACGGCUAACUACGUG
rnacentral:rRNA from 1 species